rfam:Trichobilharzia regenti genome assembly, scaffold: TRE_scaffold0002292
AUCCAGAUGACGAGUCCCAAACAUGACGAAACGCGCAUCCUGGAU